AUUGAACGCUGGCGUCAGGCCUAACACAUGCAAGUCGAACGCGCGGCGUACGGGUGAGUAAUGUCUGGGACACUGCCUGAUGGUGUUUGAUAACUACUGUAUCCGGUUGCUAAUACCGCCUACUAUCAGAUGUGCCCAGAUGGGAUGAGCUUGUUGGUGGGGUAACGGCUCACCAUGGCGACGAUCCCUAGCUGUUCGGAGAGGAUUACCAUCCAGACUGGAACUGAGACACGGUCCAAGCUCCUACGGGAGGCAGCAGUGGGGAAUAUUGCACAAUGGGCGCAAGCCGGAUGCAGCCAUGCCGCGUGUAUGAAGAAGGCCAUCGGGUUGGAAAGUACUUUCAGCGGGGAGGCGUUACCCGCAGAAGAAGCACCGGCUAACUCAGUGCCAGCAGCCGCGGUAAUAC
rnacentral:rRNA from 1 species